AUGGCGUGCUCGGGGACGAGGUCGGGAAGAGGGAUUCGCUGGGCACAAGCUCUGGAGGAGGUGCCACAGAGAAAGUGGCACCAGUGUCAGGGUCGAGAUCAGUGCCAGGACAAAGGUGGCUGCAUCGGGAUGAAGGUAGAUUUCAGUGGAGGGGUUGAGAUGGAGCACGCGGAUCACCGAAACCAUCCCGAAAGACAUUUUUGCCACACGAAUGAAACCGCCUCGGUCCACGUUUCCCCAGCGCCCGCGCCCGUAUAUAAAUUGCCGCCCCACACCCUCCGCACCCGUACGUCGUCCCCAGCCGUUCGAGUUCAACCACCCAAAUCCCGCAGCGCAAGUCGAGGAACCGACCGAGGAAGGCGAGAUGGCGCGCACGAAGCAGACCGCCCGCAAGUCCACCGGCGGCAAGGCGCCCCGCAAGCAGCUCGCCACCACCAUCGCGGCGAGGAAGUCGGCACCCACCACCGGCGGCGUGAAGAAGCCGCACCGGUACAGGCCGGGAACGGUGGCCCUGAGGGAGAUCCGCAAGUACCAGAAGAGCACGGAUCUGCUCAUCCGCAAGCUCCCGUUCCAGCGCCUCGUGAGGGAGAUCGCGCAGGACUUCAAGACGGACCUGCGGUUCCAGAGCCACGCCGUGCUGGCCCUCCAGGAGGCCGCCGAGGCGUACCUCGUCGGGCUCUUCGAGGACACCAACCUCUGCGCCAUCCACGCCAAGCGCGUCACCAUCAUGCCCAAGGACAUCCAGCUCGCCCGCCGCAUCCGUGGCGAACGCGCAUAAAACCCUAGAUGGCCGAUCAUCGUGCCGUCCUCGUAAGCUAGUUAUUAGUUGAUUUGCUUCUGAUUUUCAGCCAUGUUACUCGCUCGUGAUAGGUAACUUUUAUCUCGUCCUCAAUAUCUCUCCGGUUAUCAUACAAUAUAUAUAUAUAUACUAGUUGCAACAAAGACGUAUCUGCUGCUUAUUAUUUUGGUUUGCCCUAAUAAAUGUGAAACGAAUGCUGUAUUGGAAAUUAUCGAUAUGAAUUCAUAGUAAUUGUGAAA